UGCGUCCAUACUUAUACAUCGUCCAGCACUUACGUCAUGCGUCGCACUAAAAGAAAAACCGGUCUCCCACCGUCCCACUUAAUACAAAUCCGAAGAAAACCGUCUUUUCAUCCUGCGCCCCACCCACCCCACGACCUGGCAGCAAGCUGCCCACGAUCUGCCUCCUCCCACGACUUCGCUCCCUCGUGCCAGUUCGCCGCUGUCGCUCCUCUGCCUCGCGCCGCCCGCACGUCACCGCCACCGCCCAAGGUCGGAUCCGCCGUCGCCAUCUCCUCCUCGCCCCCUCUUCCCUGAUGCCAGAGUCCAAAGAGGAGGAGGAUAGAGGGAUAGAAGGAGAGAGAGAGGAGGGGAUGGGGUGAGAAAGAUGGAGGGAGAAAGUGGGCAGCUUGGUGGAUCUUGUCAUCUCGCCGCCGCAGCUCACUGCCGCUCCUGACAGUGUCCACUCGGUUAGUGCAGCGAGAGCUAUCCAUAUAUCUUCGUGCCAUUUCUACUAAUGGAAGACUUGUCACUGGGGUGUACUAACUCAUAGGCAUGGAUUCGUAGAGCUCUAUUGGUCAUUGUUGCAGAUAACUUGUUUAGUUGAUCUUAUUCACGCCAUUUGUGUUUGUAAUUGCACAGGUAAAAACAGUGACGAAUUGGACGGAGCUUCCUGCACUAUGACUGUAUGAGUUAAUUUCGUUGAUCCCACAUUCUGAAAAAUGGGGAAGUUGAGAACUUUCACGAUUUUGAAGAUAAGAUCUUGCAUUUUUUGCACAGUUCUAAGUGUCGAAGAGCUGAGGUAUUUAAUGGCUGGAGUGGUCUUUGUUCCUGUUCGACAACAAUGGUGGCUUUGGUUCGUCACGACUCAAGGCAGUACUCAUGAUGGUGGAUUAGCCAUAUUAGUCCCAAGAACUCCAAAUGGCUCCAGGAAAAUCUCAGCGACAUGGACACGAAAGUUAAAGAUGGCAAUUAAGAACUUGCUCAGUCUCAUGAAGAAGUUUGGAGGUUGACUAUGGAGAUAAAAAUGGCAAAUGAAAAGUUGAAUGAGCUCAAGCAGACCAAGGAGGAUCUUGAGAAAACUAUUUGUGAGCUGAAGAAGGAUGUUGAGAGCCUUACCAAACAAAAUAACGCCUCUGACUACCCGCUCGUCACCCAGGACGGUAAGCACAUAUGCGAUCUACUCCGCCCCCCAAUUCCGUGGUUGGAUCGAUCGCUCAAAGACGCGAUCUCUGAUACAAUUUGUUUGGUGCUUUCAUGGGAGCAAAGGAGCGAUCUUUGCACGCCGAUUUGGGCGAAAUCGAUUCCAAGUUGGGGGGUCACUCACCGGAGGAUAGCGGGAUUGGGAAUUUCAAUCUUGGUGCAGUGGAUAGCCGAGUGCAAUCUUAGGUACUGUAGAGCACUAUUGCUCUAUAAAAUGAAGUCUCAUUUUUAGCAUCAUGUAUUAGUCUCUUGGUGUUGAAAGUAAAAUCGAUACCUUGUACGAGAUUUAGAAACCGUUGCAAUACACAAGCACUGUACUAUUUUCAUUUAAAUAGAUGAAAAUAAUAAUAAACCAUGUUACCUGAUGCUACCUUACAUAUGCACGCAUCACCAUCUUUUGGUUAGCAUGUUUGCUUCAUU